rnacentral:misc_RNA from 1 species
GAUGAAGAACGCAGCGAAAUGCGAUACUUGGUGUGAAUUGCUGAAUCCCGUGAACCAUCGAGUCUUUGAACGCAAGUUGCGCCCGAAGCCAUUAGGCCGAGGGCACGCCUGCCUGGGCGUCACACGUCGUUGCCCCCCCAUCUACUCCUUCGGGAUUGCGGGGGGCGGAUGAUGGCCUCUCGUGCGCCUCGUCGCGCGGUUGGCCUAAAUGCCAAGUCCUCGGCGACGCACGCCACGACAAUCGGUGGUUGCGAAACCUCGGUUGCCUGUCGUGUGCGGUCGUCGCGCAUCGAGGGCUCGAAAAAAUUGCCGGGCUUCGGCUCGACUUUCAACGCGACCCCAGGUCAGGCGGGGUUACCCGCUGAAUUUAAGCAUAUCAAUAAGCGGAGGA